rnacentral:rRNA from 1 species
AGUGAACGCUGGCGGUAGGCCUAACAUGCAAAUCGAACGGCAGCACAGUAAGAGCUUGCUCUUACGGGUGGCGAGUGGCGGACGGGUGAGGAAUACAUCGGAAUCUACUUUUUCGUGGGGGAUAACGUAGGGAAACUUACGCUAAUACCGCAUACGACCUACGGGUGAAAGCAGGGGAUCUUCGGACCUUGCGCGAUUGAAUGAGCCGAUGUCGGAUUAGCUAGUUGGCGGGGUAAAGGCCCACCAAGGCGACGAUCCGUAGCUGGUCUGAGAGGAUGAUCAGCCACACUGGAACUGAGACACGGUCCAGACUCCUACGGGAGGCAGCAGUGGGGAAUAUUGGACAAUGGGCGCAAGCCUGAUCCAGCCAUACCGCGUGGGUGAAGAAGGCCUUCGGGUUGUAAAGCCCUUUUGUUGGGAAAGAAAAGCAGCAGGUUAAUACCCCGCUGUUCUGACGGUACCCAAAGAAUAAGCACCGGCUAACUUCGUG